CCACGUGCUUAGGGCCCACUCCUAGCACUCUCGUGGCUUUCAACUCUUUUAUUUCACACAGCGAAUGGGAGAACGCGUUCGAGGACACGAGGCUAAUAGUAGGCGGGUGCCGGAAGUCCAGGAAGGUUGCCGAUCCUCUGGCCAAGGACGGUAAGUCCUCCUCUGCUUGAGGUGGGUCUCCCCUCUGAACCCUGCUCGAUUCCUAAUGUCGUAGCUUGAUGGGGGAGAAAUGGAAGUCUCAAGAGCUUAAUUGCCUGAGACGGAAUCAGGAUGAGGGAAGCACACGAUCGGUCAGAGAGGGAUUCUUAAACUAUCUCUGUCAGGGAGGUGCAGUUUCCCUCCCCCACCUGGGUCUGCUAGUCGGAGGCCUCCUCUCUCGGACCUGGAUCUCCGGAGGUUAAGAAACACCUGAGGAGUGGUCUGAGGGGGAGGGGAAGAAAAAGGACAUUUGACCCAGGGAAAAACCCUCUCUAGGGGCGAUUGAGAACUUGAAAAAUCUCAGUCUGAAACAAACAGUUGCUAGAGCCUAGUGAAUUUCAAAAGGAGCAACUGGGAAAAGAAAAAGCAGGAGUUAAAAUUUCAUCCGGAAAGCAAAGUCAAAUUUACCUGCUAUUCAUUAGCAAAAGCUGGAAAGCCUAGUGAAGACACAAGGCAGAAACUGCUGCAGAAUGCUAAGGAGUUCUUUCUUAAGCACUUCUUAUUUCAAAAGUUCUGCAAGCUAAUCUUUACAAGAAACUCCUGGUGCCUUUUCAGGAGAGGUGGGACUCAGAUGCAUUUGAAAGGCCUAUCAGGAAGUGGUUGCUUUAAUCUCAAAGCAGGGCAUUUAAAAGAUCAGAAUUACUUGGAAAAAACGGAUAAAAAACAAAAAAUUUUUUUUUUCUAAUAAAACCGUAGGUCUCAGCACAAUUAAGGAAUCAAGGUAAUAAUCCUGAAUUAGGUUAAAUUCGGAACAGCCUAAGUUGUAAAAAGAUAUUGCCAUUCUGUAACCAAAGGCAGAAGAUUUUUUUAAAAAAAAGCAAGUCCUAGGGACUCUUGUUUGAGGUCCAGCCAGGUAAAGGCAGGCUUUACCUGGGCGAUUGCAAAUACAGUAAAGUAAGAUUUGGGAAUUUGAAUUUUAAUUUAGUUUUAAUUUACGUUGGAUAUAGGCAAAAUUAUAAAGGAAUGUCUGCUUAUAUUUUUUUAUAAAGGAAGUUAAAAAAGGAGAAUUAAAUAUCUUUCUCUGACUUUUGUUAUAUGCCACAGAAUAUCAGGACUAGAAAUGUUUUAUCUGUAGAGACAUUUUGGUAUAUAUCUCAAGGUAAUUAAAGUGCAAACAGAAAACUUUUAAGGUUUGGGCUUAGAUCUGAAGCAGCUUGAAAUGUUUUUUCUCUACUGGCCACGUGGCUUGAGCCACGUGGAAGAUAGCAUCAGAGCAACUGAGGUUGCAAGUUUUAUCACUAAGGCUGUAAUUGGCUAGAAGAAAAAAAUUAAUAUUAAGAUAUAAUAAGCAUGAGUUGGAAUAUGAUUUAAAGGAAUUUCUAAGGCUUUCUAAUUUUAACUAUGGAGGAAUUAUUAACACUUUUCUAAGCAGGACAUAAAGCAACAGGAUGCAAACAGCCUGUAUGCAGUUCAGAAACUUUUUUACUGGGCAUAUUACUAUACCUGUAUCCAGAAAGCAAAUGAUUUAUAACUAGAAUAGCUUUUACUAUGGAAAAUUAAGACACAUGCUCAGCAGAGUAAAAGCAUGGUUAGAAGGAUUCAAUCUGUUUACCAGUGGUUAAUUAUUAAGGUUAUCAAGGAAUUGGUUACUCAGUACAGUGAUUUAUUAAGGAUUUGAAAGAGGCAAUACUAUCAUGUAUUAAAAUUGCAGAUAUUGAAGCUGAUCAUGAUAUUGAAAAGAGACCUAUGAUAAUAAGGCAAAUUCAAAGGUGACUGGCAUAAUUUGAUUUACUUCUGCAGUGAAGAUUUGCAGAAUUAGCAGAUGGAAGUAAUGAUUUUAUUCACAGUAUUAAGAUCUUUUCAGUUAUGAAGCUAAGGGCAGUAGUUCAGAAAUAACAACUUCUAUGCAAUUGUUUGAUAAUUCUAUGCAUAUUUGUACAGCAUAAGACAAUGCUAUAAUUUUAAUAACUGCACAAGGUGGAAAUUUUUUCAAAAAGCAAAAAUUGUGUGCAGGCAGACAAAGACUUAAGAUCCCAGCACACAUGGGUCAAUUCAUAAGUGAUUUAUAGAAUGAUAUUUUUAUGAUUAUGGAUUUGAAAAAGCAAAUAUUUAAGCAUCUAUACAUGCUGCUUUGCAAAGUCUAUUGUACAUCUAUAUCCUGAACAAGCAGGUGAUAUCGCUUAUCAAUGCAAACUGUUGUGGAUUAAUUUCACCCCUGAUAGACAUCCACUGUAUAUUUUGGAGCAAAAGGUACAUUUCAGCAUGCUCCUGGCACAAAGGUUGAACUGUGAAAAGUGAUGGGAGAUACUUACUCUCCUGGUUUAUGGGUUCAAGCUCAAAUGAAGAAGUGAGCAAAGUGAUUGCAGAUUUUAUAAAUAUCUGUGCACAACUGUCUAUUCCAAACAGCUUGGAAUAGCAGGGCUUUUAACAGCAAUGCAAAGGCUAAAUGGCAUAGCUCAUGGCUUACAUGCAAGCUAUGGUACAAAGAGCUCAAAGGAAUUCAUGAGCCCCAAGGUUCCAAAACUGAAGGUAUAGAUGUUCUGUCACUUUCUAACUUUCUAAGACCCAAUGAGGCUUUCAUUUGGGGUCGAGGUCUUGUUUAUAUGUUCACAGAUAAUGAAAACAUCUGGUCACCCACGUCAUGCUUCAUGCCAGCUGAUACAGACCAGGAAGAGAAGCAGACGGAAGGUGAUGGCAUCAGCUAUCUGCAUGCCAGCCACAAUCCAGACUCGCUGGAGGGACACUUCUUUGGUGACUAAUAUCACUCUAGAACAAUGACAUUACACUAUUAGAGACAUUGGCUAUUAGGCCACUGACGGACACUUGUCAUGCUGACAUCCAUUGAGAUGGGGUACCCAGAGCAACAUCAAGUAUGCUAACUCAGAAGGACUAAAUCACACUCGUGUCUGUACAAGACACCAGAUAUGUCCCACACUCCAAAGGCUUUGCUAUGGGAUUGAGAUGAAAUAGCUACAAAUUGUCUAGCUGCUAAUGUAUACCUUGUAUUUUGUAUAUGAUACUGUCAAAGGGAAUUUUGUAUGCAUUAUGAAUUGUAUGCAUUGUAAAUCCACCACUUGUAUUGUAAGAAAUGCUGUUAACAAGGGUAUAGACCUUGGUAGGACUCUCCAAAGAGUAGGAGAUAGAAAACUCUCAUCCAUAGGAUAGAUCUGAUACCUCUGACAUCAAAAAUGAGGUGCUAAGCAGAAAAUGCUGCUCACUCAUGGUUAAUGGACAGAUGACACUGAUGUUACUCUCAAGAAAGGAUGAGAGAUCAGGGAAAAGACACUAGGAAAUCUUUAAUCAGGAACCUGAGUUAUUGUAAGAGAUCAUUGACAUCCAGGCAAAGAUUAUGUUCCUGACAUUACAUUAAGGGCUGACUCUUUGUGGGUAAUAUCUUAAUAGGAAAAAUGUCUUGCUCUCCUCCAACAAUCCCAGAAUUCAGACGGCCGCUGGAUUCGGGAUCUAUUGGCUUCCCUUUCAUAUACUGGAAGACGUUCUGGUAUAUGGAAGUAAGACCUCAUGAAAAACUGAGGGCUCUAGGUUUGACAAUUUCUGUGGACGCGCAGUCAUUGUCUCUCCUAGGUGGAAAAAAUUAUUAUUGCACAAAAACAUGGAGCAAGGGCAAGGUAUAAUCUAAGUUUUACUGUUUUGGAGUAUGGAUUAAAAACAUGACACAAUAGGCACAGAUAAGCUUGCAGAAAAAGCACAUUGAAUAUUAUACCCUGACAACUAGGAAUGAAAAAGCUAUGUCAAAUGCUGUAGGUACGAGAAACUGUAGAAAUUGUUUCUACAUGGGAAACAACUUAAGCUUCUAUUUACCCAAACAUUGGUUUGGUGGAAUGAAUUUUGCAAAUAUUGGUAAUGGUAUAGGCUUGGUUAUUAUAUUGAUGGGUUUAUUUAUACAAGCAGAGAAUUAAAAUAAGGAAGACAUUAGGAAUAUGCAGUCAGAACUUGAAAUAUUACUUCAUUAUCACCAUCAUGGUUAUUUAAGUUACAAUUGAGAAUGUAAAGUGUAUGGGAAUAUUGGUAUUUGUUAAAAAUUGCACUGUGAUUGAUGUAUUGAUGUUUUUGCAAAGCCUGUAAUGGUGCAAAAUUAUGUUCAUAUACAAGGCGAAUUUUGAUCUAUUUAGAUCUGGAAUUAGAAAUCAUUGGGAACAUAAGUUCUGAUAUUUCACAUUGGCUCAGUUUCAAAGAUACCACAUAGACUGUGAGCCAAGAGCCAAGAGAAUCUUGUAUUAAUUUUGGGAUCAGGUUCCCAGGAUCAAUUUUCUGAGAUCAUUUGACAUGUGAUAACAUGAUCCUCCAGAAAUGUUUAGAGAGGAUGUUUUUCUUUGAAGGGAUCUCUCCCAACACACAAACAAAAAGAAAA